GGGGAUGCUAGGCAUCGACAGGGAGAUUGUUCAGAAUAGUUGCAUGUCGGGGAGUAUGGAGCCCGUUAAAAACUAUACAAAAUCUCAAAUGCAAAAACAUUUGGAUCAGUGGAGAGCCCUUACGCAAGUAAGGCCUUCGCUCUAGCGUAAGCUUUUAAGCUAUGGUUAGCGCCUCUUUUUUCUGGUUUCUUGGAAGAAGUAAGGUGUUAUAAAUAGAAACUAUGAUUUUGUGUCGCUCAACACAGAGUCGAGAAAAUGAGAUCGGGGAGAGUGAUUUUUACAAAUUUAUAUAUCACUCUAACUUAAAACAAAAAAAUUUGUUAAACAUGUAGAUUAUUAUUUUGUUCCUCUUUGCACGGCGGUUCAAUUCCGCCCAUCUCCACCA
rnacentral:tmRNA from 1 species